GUUUACACAUUUUAAUUCAUUCAUCACUUUCCUCUCAAGAACCCUAGAAGCCACCAUUGGAGAAAAGCUUGACUAGUAGCUUUGACUUCAUUUUUGGUGCCCUUUCACUCACCUUAGAACUUUGAACUUGGAAUAUUUUAGGCUCCUCCUACUCUCCUCUCCAAAACCCUUGAAGGAUCUAGCCUAACUCCUAGUUUUGCUUUGGUAUCUAGAGUUUCAAUUCUCUAGUGAGUUGAAGGUAGCAAGCUGAAAAAUUUGUUUUGCGGACCGAAAAUUUGGGGCGAUUUCAUUUCGGUGGUAAUUGGGAUUUUCAUUCCAAUUGAGGUACAGGACUCAGAAUUUGAAGAUUCCAUUGCUCCUUGAAUGGCUUACAGUUUCUAAGUUUCUAUUUUAUGCAAGUGUUAGCAUAAGAUGCCUCUUUGUAGCCCUAUUUGUUUAAACUUGUAUUUGUUGAUUCGUAUAUGUAAAGUGUACGUAAGUGCACUCUUUUCAAUGUAUUUAACAUGUAUGAGAUGAGGCCAGAGGCCAAUGACAUGUAUCUCGUUUUCUAUGCACUUUUGUUUUCAAAGUUUAUUAUGAAAAUAUUGGAAAAUGUUAAGUCAUUGCUUCAUAACUUUCGCAUCGGGUGUUGGAAUUUCAUAUCUUUUCUGCCCAGACUCAGAAUCAGACGAUUCUUGAGUCUAAUUUUGUUUUUUUUUUUGUUGUCCUUCCAAUGGUGUGCACGGUGACACCCUUUUCAAUGAGAAAUGACCAUUUUGCCCUUAGUUCAUCUCUUUUCGGGUUAGGUAUUCUUGCUUCAUUUGUUUGGCUCAUUUGAGUUCCGUGUUUUCAUGGAGAGUCAUUUUGGGGCCUUAGGG